UUGAACGCUGGCGGCAUGCUUUACACAUGCAAGUCGAACGGUAACAGGUUAAGCUGACGAGUGGCGAACGGGUGAGUAAUGCAUCGGAACGUGCCCGAUCGUGGGGGAUAACGCAGCGAAAGCUGCGCUAAUGCCGCAUACGCCCUGAGGGGGAAAGCGGGGGACCUUCGGGCCUCGCGCGAUUGGAGCGGCUGAUGGCGGAUUAGCUAGUUGGUGGGGUAAAGGCCUACCAAGGCGACGAUCCGUAGCUGGUCUGAGAGGAUGAUCAGCCACACUGGGACUGAGACACGGCCCAGACUCCUACGGGAGGCAGCAGUGGGGAAUUUUGGACAAUGGGCGCAAGCCUGAUCCAGCCAUGCCGCGUGAGUGAAGAAGGCCUUCGGGUUGUAAAGCUCUUUCAGCCGGAACGAAACGGUACGCUCUAACAUAGCGUGCUAAUGACGGUACCGGCAGAAGAAGCACCGGCUAACUACGU
rnacentral:rRNA from 1 species